rnacentral:rRNA from 1 species
GACGAACGCUGGCGGCGUGCCUAAUACAUGCAAGUAGAACGCUGAAGGAGGAGCUUGCUUCUCCGGAUGAGUUGCGAACGGGUGAGUAACGCGUAGGUAACCUGCCUGGUAGCGGGGGAUAACUAUUGGAAACGAUAGCUAAUACCGCAUAAGAGUAGAUGUUGCAUGACAUUUGCUUAAAAGGUGCAAUUGCAUCACUACCAGAUGGACCUGCGUUGUAUUAGCUAGUUGGUGGGGUAACGGCUCACCAAGGCGACGAUACAUAGCCGACCUGAGAGGGUGAUCGGCCACACUGGGACUGAGACACGGCCCAGACUCCUACGGGAGGCAGCAGUAGGGAAUCUUCGGCAAUGGACGGAAGUCUGACCGAGCAACGCCGCGUGAGUGAAGAAGGUUUUCGGAUCGUAAAGCUCUGUUGUAAGAGAAGAACGAGUGUGAGAGUGGAAAGUUCACACUGUGACGGUAUCUUACCAGAAAGGGACGGCUAACUACGUGCCAGCAGCCGCGGUAAUACGUAGGUCCCGAGCGUUGUCCGGAUUUAUUGGGCGUAAAGCGAGCGCAGGCGGUUAGAUAAGUCUGAAGUUAAAGGCUGUGGCUUAACCAUAGUACGCUUUGGAAACUGUUUAACUUGAGUGCAAGAGGGGAGAGUGGAAUUCCAUGUGUAGCGGUGAAAUGCGUAGAUAUAUGGAGGAACACCGGUGGCGAAAGCGGGCUCUCUGGCUUGUAACUGACGCUGAGGCUCGAAAGCGUGGGGGAGCAAACAGG